CAGUAGCCACGGGAAUACCAGCAGCCCAAGUGGUGGUCGCGAUUAUUGGGCCUAAAGCGCUCGUGGCCGGGCCGGUAAGUCCCUUGUGAAAUCGGACGGCCUAACCGUUCGGCGUGCAAGGGAUACUGUCGGUCUUGAGGCCGGGAGACGUCCGAGGUACUCCGGGGGUAGCGGUGAAAUGUUCUGAUCCUCGGGGGACCACCGGUGGCGAAGGCGUUCGACGAGAACGGGCCUGACGGUGAGGGGCGAAGGCUAGGGGAGCAAACGGGAUUAGAUACCCCCGUAGUCCCUGUCUCUUAUA
rnacentral:rRNA from 1 species